rnacentral:rRNA from 1 species
AUUGAACGCUGGCGGUAGGCCUAACACAUGUAAGUCGAACGGCAGCACAGGAGAGCUUGCUCUCUGGGUGGCGAGUGGCGGACGGGUGAGGAAUACAUCGGAAUCUACUUUUUCGUGGGGGAUAACGUAGGGAAACUUACGCUAAUACCGCAUACGACCUACGGGUGAAAGCAGGGGAUCUUCGGACCUUGCGCGAUUGAAUGAGCCGAUGUCGGAUUAGCUAGUUGGCGGGGUAAAGGCCCACCAAGGCGACGAUCCGUAGCUGGGCUGAGAGGAUGAUCAGCCACACUGGAACUGAGACACGGUCCAGACUCCUACGGGAGGCAGCAGUGGGGAAUAUUGGACAAUGGGCGCAAGCCUGAUCCAGCCAUACCGCGUGGGUGAAGAAGGCCUUCGGGUUGUAAAGCCCUUUUGUUGGGAAAGAAAUCCAGCUGGCUAAUACCCGGUUGGGAUGACGGUACCCAAAGAAUAAGCACCGGCUAACUUCGUGCCAGCCGCCGCAGUAAGAC